rnacentral:rRNA from 1 species
AGGCAGCAGUAGGGAAUCUUCGGCAAUGGACGAAAGUCUGACCGAGCAACGCCGCGUGAGUGAAGAAGGUUUUCGGAUCGUAAAACUCUGUUGGUAGAGAAGAACGUUGGUGAGAGUGGAAAGCUCAUCAAGUGACGGUAACUACCCAGAAAGGGACGGCUAACUACGUGCC